GAUGAACGCUAGCGGCAGGCUUAACACAUGCAAGUCGAGGGGCAGCGUGAGGGUUAGCAAUAACCCUUGACGGCGACCGGCGCAAGGGUGCGUAACGCGUGAGCAACUUGCCCUUAUCAGGGGGAUAACCGGUGGAAACGCCGACUAAUACCCCAUGGCAUUGGUUGGAGGCAUCUCCUUCCAAUUAAAGAGUUUCGGAUAAGGAUAGGCUCGCGUGACAUUAGCUAGAUGGCGGGGUAACGGCCCACCAUGGCUACGAUGUCUAGGGGUUCUGAGAGGAAGGUCCCCCACACUGGAACUGAGACACGGUCCAGACUCCUACGGGAGGCAGCAGUGAGGAAUAUUGGUCAAUGGUCUGACGACUGAACCAGCCAUGCCGCGUGAAGGUCACGGCCCUAU
rnacentral:rRNA from 1 species